rnacentral:rRNA from 1 species
UACGUAGGGGGCAAGCGUUGUCCGGAUUUACUGGGCGUAAAGAGCGCGUAGGCGGCCAAACAGGUCCGUUGUGAAAACUGGAGGCUUAACCUCCAGACGUCGACGGAAACCGUAUGGCUAGAGUCCGGAAGAGGAGAGUGGAAUUCCUGGUGUAGCGGUGAAAUGCGCAGAUAUCAGGAAGAACACCAAUGGCGAAGGCAGCUCUCUGGGACGGUACUGACGCUGAGACGCGAAAGCGUGGGGAGCGAACAGG